GCCUGUGUGGCCAAGUGGUAAGGCGUCUGUCUUGUAAACAGAAGAGCAGUGGUUCGAUUCCGCUCUCGGGCA